GUCUACGGCCAUAACACCCUGAACGCGCCUGAUCUCGUCUGAUCUCGGAAGCUAAGCAGGGUCGGGCCUGGUUAGUACUUGGAUGGGAGAAGUGAUGUGACCUUACACA
ensembl:rRNA 5S_rRNA 5S ribosomal RNA